AGGGGUUUCGCCUUUAACAAAGAUGGUGCUUAUGGGGCAGGUUCCCUAACAGUCAGGAUUCCGGUUGCAGUUUUUCUCCCCCGCCCCAAAGAUACGUGGUUGCAGACGGAGAAAUGGAGGCCAGAGACAAACAAGUACUCCGCUUACUUCGCCUGGAGCUGGGUGCAGAAGUAUUGGUGGAGGGACUGGUUCUUCAGUACCUCUACCAGGAAGGAAUCUUGACGGAAAACCAUGUUCAAGAAAUCAAUGCUCAAACCACAGGCCUCCGGAAAACAAUGCUCCUGCUGGAUAUCCUACCUUCCAGGGGCCCUAAAGCAUUUGAUACAUUCCUAGAUUCCCUACAGGAGUUUCCCUGGGUCAGGGAGAAGCUGAAGAAGGCAAGGGAAGAAGCCAUGACCGACCUGCCUGCAGCUUCUAGAAGAUGAAUCAAUUUCGUGAGGACUUGGCCAAUAUCAAGGUCUUCAGCACGACUCAUCAGCUCGUUGCUAAUCCGAGGACGACAAAUGCCUACAAAUGCUGGUGUUGGCCAUGAUCCUUAUGAUGGGGAGGAAAGGAAUCACCAAUUUUCUACUCCAUCCCACCGAACAACUUAGAGAUGACCUAAGGCCUCGUUACCUGUGUGGAGUAACUGGGAAUUGGAAGGGAGAACAUUUAUUAAUGAAGAAUAACUCAAAGGAAAGGAAGGGGUCCUGGUCUCCCAUGCUUCCUCAUGGGAGCCUUGGGGAAGGAUGAAGAGACGGGGUCUCCCUGUGUUGCCCAGGCUGUGAGCACCUGGGCUCAAGCCAUCCUCCUGCCUUGGUCUCCCAUAGUACUGGUAUUACAGACAUGAGCCACUGUAUUUGGCUCAUGUAGGGGGUUUCUUAACCAUCACUGCUUUUAGGGAACAAAAGCCUUAGAGGAAGUUUAACAGUGUCAAAAUUCUUCAACUUUUAAGAGGCCAACGCAAAUGAAAAAAAAAAAACAAAAAACCAAGUUUUUAUAAGGUUUAGGUAUGAGAUAAUAUCAGAAUUCACAUCUUAACUGUUUGCUUGUUCAAUAAGAGAUACUUAAGCUAACUCCUUAUUUAAUUUGAAUAAAGAAAAACAAAUGGCCUGUCUGACCAAAGCUAAGCAACAGGAAAGGAAACACAGCUCCUCUUACUUUCCUAGAGAAUCAUGGACCAAUUUUCAAUUUGGACCAACCAUGGAACCUUUUUCUGUAGCUUAUAGAAAUUCAUUCAAAAUGUACUUUUUGAGCACCUGCCAUGUGCCAGGCAUAAAUAUAUGUGGUGGGGAUAUAGCAGUCAAUGUGACAGUCUGUAAUUUCUCCCCUUGAGCCCCUUGCUAUGGAGACAGAGAAUGCAGCAAAGGGCAGGGAGAGCCAGGCGAAGGAGUAGUACUGUUUCCAAAAGGUCAGCCGGAGAAGACCCCCACAAGAAGGUGACAGGAGUAAAAACCUGAGGGAGGGAGCUGUGCUGAGGCCUGAAAGAACAUUUUGGGCAGAGGGAACAGUAAAAUGGGACAACCCUGAGAUGGGAACUGUUAAAAUAAUUAAUCGGGAGGACAUUUAGCUGAGCCACCUUCAGCACCUUUGGUUCCUACCUAAGCAAAUGGAAAACCAACUCAAUGUAAGCAGUAAAAUGAAACCAGCAUAACCAAUCAGAAACUGCCAGCUAACUUCUAACUAGAGACUUUACCAAUCAGAAACUGACCUCUCACCAGGGACUUUCUGCUGUAACCAAAUAUUUUCUUUGUCUUGCUUCCAUUAACACCUUAUAAAAGCCCCCUCCUCUCCUCCCCUCGGAGCGCCGGGCUGCUUGUGGUCUGGUGCUGCCCGAUUGCUGAAUCAUUUGAAGCUCAAAUAAACUCAUGAAAUUUU